CCUACGGGAGGCAGCAGUAGGGAAUCUUCCACAAUGGGCGAAAGCCUGAUGGAGCAACGCCGCGUGGGUGAAGAAGGUCUUCGGAUCGUAAAACCCUGUUGUUAGAGAAGAAAGUGCGUGAGAGUAACUAUUCACGUUUCGACGGUAUCUAUCCAGGAAGCCACGGCUAACUCCGUGCCAGCCGCCGCGGUAAUACGUAGGUGGCAAGCGUUAUCCGGAUUUAUUGGGUUUAAAGGGUGCGUAGGCGGACUGUUAAGUCAGCGGUAAAAGGCCGGGGCUCAACCCCGGCGAGCCGUUGAAACUGGCUGUCUUGAGAUGUCGAGAGGUAUGCGGAAUGCGCAGUGUAGCGGUGAAAUGCUUAGAUAUUGCGCAGAACUCCGAUUGCGAAGGCAGCAUACCGGCGGCGAUCUGACGCUGAGGCACGAAAGCGUGGGUAUCGAACAGGAUUAGAUACCCUUGUAGUC
rnacentral:rRNA from 1 species